CCUACGGGUGGCAGCAGUGAGGAAUAUUGGUCAAUGGGCGCGAGCCUGAACCAGCCAAGUAGCGUGAAGGAUGACUUCCCUAGGGUUUGUAAACUUCUUUUAUAGAGGAAUAAAGUGAGGCACGUGUGCCUUUUUGUCUGUAUUUUAUCAAUAUGGAUCGGCUAACUCUGUGCCAGCAACCGCGGUAAUACGGAGGGUCCGAGCGUUAUCCGGAUUUAGUGGGUUUAAAGGGAGCGUAGAUGGGUUGUUAAGUCAGUUGUGAAAGUUUGCGGCUCGACCGUAAAAUUGCAAUUGAUACUGGCAGUCUUGAGUACAGUUGAGGUAGGUGGAAUUCGUGGUGUAGCGGUGAAAUGCGUAGAUAUUACGAAGAACUCCGAUUGCGAAGGCAGCUUACUAAACUGCAACUGACAUUGAUGCUCGAAAGUGUGGGUAUCAAACAGGAUUAGAUACCCUUGUAGUC
rnacentral:rRNA from 1 species